GCCUGGGUGGCCUAGUGGGUUAGGCGUCCGACUUCAGCUCAGGUCAUGAUCUCGUGGUCCGUGAGUUCGAGCCCCACGUCGGGCU
rnacentral:tRNA from 1 species